AUUAGAUGAGCCUAUAUUAGAUUAGCUAGUUGGUGGAGUAAUAGCCUACCAAGGCAAUGAUCUAUAGCUGAUCUGAGAGGAUGAUCAGCCACACUGGAACUGAGAUACGGUCCAGACUCCUACGGGAGGCAGCAGUGGGGAAUAUUGGACAAUGGGCGAAAGCCUGAUCCAGCCAUGCCGCAUGAGUGAAGAAGGCCUUUGGGUUGUAAAGCUCUUUUAGUGAGGAAGAUAAUGACGGUAAUCACAGAAGACGUCCUGGGUAACUCCGUGCCAGCAGCCGCGGUAAUACGGAGAGGGUUAGCGUUAUUCGGAAUUAUUGGGCGUAAAGGGCGCGUAGGCUUAUUAAUAAGUUAAAAGUGAAAUCCCGAGGCUUAACCUUGGAAUUGCUUUUAAAACUAUUAAUCUAGAGAUUGAAAGAGGAUAGAGGAAUUCCUGAUGUAGAGGUAAAAUUCGUAAAUAUUAGGAGGAACACCAGUGGCGAAGGCGUCUAUCUGGUUCAAAUCUGACGCUGAAGCGCGAAGGCGUGGGGAGCAAACAGGAUUAGAUACCCUGGUAGUCCACGCUGUAAACGAUGAAUGUUAAAUAUGGGAAGUUUA
rnacentral:rRNA from 1 species